UUGGGACCACUUUGAAGUGUGCUCCAGUGUUUCUCAAGAAAAAUUUCCUCUCCUCAACAGUAUGCGUUUUGGGAUCGUCUCUAAACAGUUGUUUUAGUCUCUGGCGAUAAACAGCUUCCAUUUAGAGAGAUUUUGAUUCGUCAUCACAGAUAGAUGGGAAAAUAUUCACUCAUGAGAGAUCGCACAUGUGGGAGCAGACCAGCGAAACCACAGCCUUCUAUACACUUACUCUCCUGAAUCAGCUGCUGACAGUACAACUCGCACUGAGAGACUAUCAGCUUUAUCCUCCCAGCAUCCUUUGAGGAAGGAAGCAGGGCAGGCUGCAUUAGUGCCCCACAAGCUUUGCACCGCCAUCUCCUGCAGGGACACUGGUUAUUUUUGGAAUGAGGGUGGAUCACGUUACAACUACGAGAAGACCCCUCAGACAGGAAAUCACCCAGCACGCCACCCAGCAGUUCCUACAUUCUUGGCUUAGAGCCGGACUGACUGAAUGCUGCUUGGUAAUUCAGUCCCAUAUGCAGACAGUGGUCAGAGAGACGAAAGCCCAACAGAACAUCUUCUUUUCAACUCCGGAUGACCUAUUCUCAACUGAAAUCUCUGCACAUGCAACCAAUCAGCAGUGUGUGACACAAUAUAUCUGUAUAUAUAUAUAUGCGUGUGUGUGUGUGUGUCAUAGAAUUGCAACAGCUUGCAGUAGUUUUUGUGUAGACGUAUAGGUCAUCAUACAUUUGAUCAAACAAGCCAUUCAUGCUUGCAUUUAUUACUCUGUGGAUCUAUGGAAUAAGCAUCAAAAGCUUAUUUUACAGUUUCUCAUAAUGACGAAGGCCAGUGCCUGAGCAAACUAUAGUUUAAUCCCACAGUGGCGUACAGAGGUGAAAGCAAGAUUAAAUCAAGUUUCUACAUGACUGGAAUAUUUCCUGGAUCAUUACCGUGAACCAGCAAGACACAGCACAAUGUAGUCAUGUGUUGUGCUAUUUGUUUCAUAUGAGCAUUCCUGGGGUUAACUGAAAAACCACACAGUUAUUAUGUGGGAAAUAUCAAAGGCUGUGUGGCCACCAGGGCUGAAGAGGAGAGCGUGGGAGGUUUGUGACAUACCCCCAAUUUCUCUCCAUCUGCCCACCAAAAACGCAUGUCUGUGUGGCGAAGAGACAGGAGCAAUGCUGCAUCUAAUGAGGUUGUUUGGCUGGUCUGCAGUGGACUUUCCUCUUAAUUUCAAUGAAGUCAUACCCUCAACCAAACACCUUGCAGAGGAAACCCUCAAUAAGGCCAUAUGAAUUUAGCUUUAUAAUGGGCAACAUAUCCAUGUUGUAUUUAUAGACAGACAGAUUUUUUUUUCUUUGUAUUUGAAAUGCAAUAUCUGGAUUUGUUAGAUCAAACAGUGCAAAGCUAAAAGUCAAGUUUGGAUAAUUGUGUAUGUUUCUUUGUUACAAAAAUAAUUAAACAAUUAUGAUUUCCCAGAAAUAAAUUCCUCCUAUUGAUUUUUCAUGUUCUGGAUUUUUGUUUGUCUGUGCACCUCUGUUUUUGAGGAUCGGAAGGAAUGUGUGCCAUUGCCUGCUUUAUUGGUGUUCACAUCAGGCUGACCUCAGGGUGUAAAGGGCUGUUGCCUCACCGUUACUUAGCCAGCUCAGGUUACAAACCACCCAUCCACCCUGAGAGAAGGCAGAAAGGAGGUGACCACAUGCAAAUUGAGAAAUGCAUCAAACCUCCAUGACACCACACAGCAUUUGGCAUCCAUCAUGGAUUGUUAUGUAUGGGCAAAUAAAACUCAAAAUGGAUCCCAAAUGUACUCUUUACUUGAGACACCCAUCACUCCUUUAAAAUGCAUACAUAAACGCAGACAAUCAUAAACUCCCUACUCCUUAGUACUAUACUGGUGACCUUCGAAAGAGAUAUCUGGAAUUGAUUUUGUCAGCUCACAUUUAACCUCUGCCCUGUAACAACACCAUGAAUGUGUGUAAUCACCUCUUAUUGGUGAAAGGACGGAGGGAAAUUUGACACUAUAGUAAACGUUAUAAAUGUGCACAUCCUUGUGAGCAUUAAACAGUCCAAAAGUGCAGUAA